rnacentral:misc_RNA from 1 species
CAGAGUUUACAACUCCCAAACCCUUAUGUGAACAUACCUACAGUUGCUUCGGCGGACUCGCCCCGGCGUCCGGACGGCCCUGCGCCGCCCGCGGCCCGGACCCAGGCGGCCGCCGGAGACCACCAAACUCUUUGUAUCAGCAGUCUCUUCUGAAUCCGCCGCAAGGCAAAACAAAUGAAUCA